AAACGCGAAAGAAAGCCGACCUCGAAGA
rnacentral:sRNA from 1 species